AUGUAUAACACUGUGUAGGUGCGCGAUGUUUUUACUAUGAUAGCAAGACUAUCUAUCAGGGAUUCAAUUAAAAUUCACUUUUUUACUGCAUUUAGUAGUAAAUGGACUUUUUUGCAGUUAAUGGACCUGACGUUUUAUGAAUAAUAGACCAUCGGAUGGCCUCUCCGUGGUAGCUCGGUGGACCCAUUGUAGUUUAGGUUCGGACCGGGUAUAGACACAUUUCAUUUCGUGCUGGGAGUCUAGUGGCGAUACCGGGUGUCAAACUCAUAACACAGAAGAUCGAAAAUACGAAGGCGACGUGUAUAUUUCAAUAAAGGUCGAACAUUUAUAUGGUUGCCCGUGACUAUAACAGAUGCUGUAUUUAAUAAAUAGUUUGUCUCUCAAUGUAUUUUACUAUUAUCCGAAUCACUGAACAACUGUACACCACACGAGUGUCAAAGUGAGUAUAAGCAUUGUAGGCACUACAUUUUUGCUACUAGUCUCUCUUUGUUUUCACCCGCAUCCACAUGAAGUCUUAUUACAAAUCCUAAAUACUAAACCUUAACUCCUGACUGCCCUAUCAUUGAACACCGUUAAUACGAAAACUCAUAAAAAAAAAGAAGCGCCGUGUUUCACUUCAUUCACGUACCGGCAGCUUUUCAGUCUACCCCAAAAGCCGGUGAAGUAUCUGGUCGACUAAAAUUAUACGAAGAAAUAUAUGAAAAAAGUCAGUUGAAUUGAACAGAAAUGAUUCCCGAUAGCUGGCCUAGUUCGCUUAAUCGUCACGGUAACAGCUGUAGUGGCCGCUUGGUCUCAGCUGAAUCUUGCGGACAUAAAUAGUUACUUAUUACUUCGGUUUGUUGCAGAGGCAUCGAUCCGUCUGUCGACUGGCCACGAGUAUUCGUCGCAGGAUGAACAACGAGUUCCAGCUGCACCCGCUUCUGUAUCUGCGUAUGUGCGACCGUAUUGAUAGUGAUAGCCUAUCAGAUCGACGCUAGCCGUAAUUUGCAAGAAGUAAUCGGCUUUGUAUGUCGCCAUUUUGUGUUUCCAUGGCACCGCAAAGCGUCUGCUUAGGUAAGCGGGCCACUGUCGAGGCGUAACACGUACUGCUAAUGUUACUGUUGACACUUUAUAUGUGAGCUGGGGACGUCAAGCUAAGCUGCACCUAUCGAGUUAUUCCAAGAAUAUCGGAGUCCGCAUCCCGCCUUUCAUCCUGUACCCACGCGCGCACCAGUCAGUGUUUUUUACAGUAUGAACAUACGUCAAUUAUCGCACGUGGCGAACACGUUCAUUAAAGUUGACGUUCCUUUGGAGAACGCUCGAGCUCCGUCUUAUUGCCGCUGCCAGUAGCACUACUACGACCAGUAUUACACCUACUAGGACUGUUUAGUCGAAGAUUUUUUACCGUAUAGGCAACCGGAACAUCAAUGGUUCCACCAGUCGAAUGAAGGUAGCAGUUUGCUUUCAUUGGGAUUCAAAUUAGAAAAAAGUAGGGGUUGCCUAUUAGACAUGUUAUUAUUACCAGACAUGACAGCCAAUGCACAUUGCGGCAUACGUUUCGCGCAGCAAGUGCUUCGAAUCCCGAUUGGCUGUGAACGGCAUUACUAGCGCCACGGUAGCCGCCUGCAGCGCCAUCAGCGUCGAAGUUCCAACUGACACAUUACAUACGAUCACACACCGUUGAAAUUGAAGAAAACAAACAUCAUCGACUAUGCGAUGUGAUAGUAAAUAAACCUAGUCUGUGCUGGCUGCCACCGCCACCGCUGUUGCAGUCGCCAUGAGUAAUCUAUCACCUACUGCACGUGACGCAGUCGCUGACUGGGCCGCGCUGGUAGAAUUUCGGCGUGCCUGUCAUGAAGACGCAGCUGCUUUGGCCGACAGAGAAAAAAAAAGAAAACAAAGAAAAGCAAGAAGAUUCGUUACUUGCCUUCAAGGCUCAAGCCUUUCAGCUGUGCCGGCAUCCUUCGCUUCUGUCUGCUUGUCGCCAGUCCCACAGCUUUGCAAACCUAAAUCCUGUAGCUCAUCGAAGCGUGUUUCGUUUCGACGUUACUGGCUGCUUUGGCCAUUAGCUUUUAGAUGACUGUGGUAACGCUUUCACAUCUGUUGCAACUUCACCAGCUGACGAUGCUUAAAGUGCUUAUAGGCUGCCGAUCUGCAGUAACUAUGGAACAAACAACAAAGGCACUUCUCCCUUGCUAAUAGUAGUCGUUGCUAAACUGAGAAUUCAACAUAAUUUUAAACUUACUCGAACUCCAUGCACAAAACGAUCACAGAAAGCAGGGAAAGCCCUGUGAGUUUACUCGAAGGAAAGAUGAAUCGGGAAAAAGUAUCGUUCUUUUUCGUGUUUCCAUUGUACGACACUGUACACGUCUCUGAUGCAUGCAUACUUAUGUGCAUGUAUGAGUGCCUGUGUGGGCUAAAAAUAAGACGCUCCAUCUUGAAAAGACCUGAGGCGUGACAGAGAAUACUAUUGCUACUUUUGGCACCGCAUAUAACGUAUUACAUAGACAACAUAGGCUGACGAUAAAACCGAUACCGCUGCGAACUUGGAACGUUGCCAUAACGUGAGCAGCAUGAUGAUGUUUUUUCAGACAAGACCCUCUGGUUUGGUUUAUCAGCAACGCUCUUCCAAGUGUGAUCAUCUACGACUGUUCUUUGAUCCAUUCAAAGGUGACAAAGUUGUGCCAGUCACUUCAAGCAGCAUCAGCAGUUAUCGUCGUCGUCGUCGUCGCCGCCUUUAUUGCAGUUGUUGCCGCGUCUAUUCAUCAGCUGAUCAUUUCCUUUCGCAGGGCUCCUUUCUCCAUCACUCUGCUUGUAGAUAAGCCCUCCUCGUUCGAAGCAACAUGAUCAUACGAUUGUGCAACAAUUGUUUCUGUAGAGGUAGUUGUGGUCGAGCGUUGGCUAAAGGCGUCUGCAGAAUCGGUGAUGACUGUUUAUAGGACUGCCAUUUAUCGCCUAUCGUUCAUUUGCCUACUUUCCUGAAUUCCUAUAUUGCUUUCCCGUAGUUACUGGGUUGGACGUCAAUGUUUUGCCCUUUCCGUUGGAUCUGUUUAUGUGUUCUUUUCGAUGCACAGUUUUCCUUCGGUUGUUCGGCGGUUGCGCCCGAGGCCAUCUGGUGACAGAUAGCGCCGGGUUUAAUCGUUCCAGUGCUCAUAGUAGAAGCAGAAUUAGGGCCAGUGACGCUAGCAGUUGUAAUUUGUAUACUGAGAUACAAUCAAAUCCGUUUGCCAGUUUCUAUUAUCGUGACACAUUUUAGGCUGGCUCCUUUCAUCACUGAUGCUCUAUGCGAGCACAGGCCCCGAAGGGGCGACGACCAACACUUCUCAGUUUUUCUAUCUGCUAUACUAGCACGCAAGUCUCGUGAUCCAAGAACGCUGACAAAGAGACAGGUCUAUCAACUGACUCGUCGAUGGUAGUGAUAGCGGUUACUUACCAGUGGUUGAUAUGAGACCAUAUAGAUGGAGUUGGCGCAGAGAGGAAGGGCAAUAAAUGGUCCAUAAUAGCUGUAGCAGGAAAAGAGUAACAGCAGCUGAAUUUUAAAAUUAAGAUUCUGGAAAAGACAUACAGUGUUCGGAGGGCAGUUGCUUAGUGCCCGAUGCCAUUGCAGCCGCCGGAGGCUGUUCUAGAAUGAGCGCCAUGAUGUCAAGGAAGAGGUCUGUCAACGUAGGUCGGUAGAUACGUAGGUCGUUCAUUUCUCGGUCAGUCAGUCAUUUGCCUUCAGAUCAUUUUUUCUGCUUGUAGGCUUUCUGAUGCUCAUGCUUACACGUUUGCUACCGCUGUACAUUCUAAAACUGGCUCUUUUCUAUCUGAUCUUUGUCCAUGGUUUGACAAUGACGAGAUUACGUUAGAUGUACAUAAGAGUCAUAAAUCUGAUGAGGUUCACACACGGAAACAAUAAAACUGCCCUGACCUCAGCGACAAAGGCGCGAGUCCCUUACUGACGGUUAAGUAAUUUAUAAACCGCCGUUGUUUCAAUAGGCUAAAAUUUUACUACACAUUACACUUUUUGGUGUCUUUGAAGCUACUUUGCUGCGCUACAUGUCUGUUCGGCAAAGCGAAGCUAAUCUCAAUAAAACUUUUCCUUACAGGUCCUGAAGGUACUGCUGAGGAAACAGUGGGAAAAAUAGAGACAUAUGUGUAUAUAUUGUUUACGUUACGCUGUAUCUGUACUACAAGGGUCACGUUUUUGUUGUGGAAGACUUCUAAACUCAAUCAAUUCGUCCACAAAUUUUUGACGAAAAACAAGACAACCCUGCUUUUCGUCACCUUUGUUAUUUGAACACGAAAAAAAAACACCCGUUUCUACUUACAAAUAUCGAUUAUUUCUAUAAUGUUUUUUUGUUGCUUGUUGUAAAUAUAUCCGAAUCGCUUCACCUUUCCGUCGUUGUAUCAAUUUGAGUUUCGUAGUAUAAAUAACGGGUAGGCACGGGCUAGUGACUGUGAGGAGCUUUCAAUAUAGUCGCAAUUUAUUAACAAAAACACCUUUCAGGCAAGCUCAGUUUUUUUCUACUGGACGUCCAAACAGAAAACAGAAACCUCGUUCUGGCGUUAUGUUUACUCUUUCCCCCUUUUGUCAUCGUUUUUUUUAUAAUCAGCCAUCCUGUCAGCUAGUUCUUUUUCUAGCUCUAAACGCCCUUCACGCAUCUCUUGCAGGGGAAAUAGGUAUACCGAUGGUUUUGCGUCAGUAUAACGUAAACUAUGAAGCUAUGUACUGCCUUUUCCCCGAACAACCUGGUUUAACACUAGUAGCUAACGGUACCCAAAUAGAUGCACUCGGUCGAAUUGAACCGUCAGUGGAUUUUCCAAAGCGUAGCAACAAUGUAAGCCUGGCAUGCAAGAAAAGAUGUUUUAUCCUAUAGUAUCUGGACGUAUAUGGAGAUAUCGAUUCUGUCUAAAAUGGACGUGCAUGGAAAGUACUCUCUUCUCCAUUUUCCUUCUAAAAAAAAGACGAAAGAAUUGUUACAUUUUCAGGUUCCAACAAACAAACAACAGAGAUGGAAAGAGACAAAGAGGGG